UCCAUAUCCGAGCCUUUGUUUGACUUUGA
rnacentral:piRNA from 1 species